ACAUCUGGUAUAUACUUUGACCCUAUCGGGUCA
rnacentral:sRNA from 1 species